rnacentral:rRNA from 1 species
GUAAACGGCGGCCGUAACUAUAACGGUCCUAAGGUAGCGAAAUUCCUUGUCGGGUAAGUUCCGACCUGCACGAAUGGCGUAAUGAUGGCGGCGCUGUCUCCACCCGAGACUCAGUGAAAUUGAAAUCGCUGUGAAGAUGCAGUGUAUCCGCGGCUAGACGGAAAGACCCCGUGAACCUUUACUGUAGCUUUGCACUGGACUUUGAACCUGUUUGUGUAGGAUAGGUGGGAGGCUUUGAAGCUAAGACGCUAGUUUUAGUGGAGCCAACCUUGAAAUACCACCCUGACAUGUUUGAGGUUCUAACUCUGGCCCGUAAUCCGGGUUGAGGACAGUGUAUGGUGGGCAGUUUGACUGGGGCGGUCUCCUCCUAAAGAGUAACGGAGGAGUACGAAGGUGCGCUCGGCGUGGUCGGAAAUCACGCUAAGAGUAUAAAGGCAAAAGCGCGCUUGACUGCGAGACAGACAAGUCGAGCAGGUACGAAAGUAGGUCUUAGUGAUCCGGUGGUUCUGUAUGGAAGGGCCAUCGCUCAACGGAUAAAAGGUACUCCGGGGAUAACAGGCUGAUACCGCCCAAGAGUUCAUAUCGACGGCGGUGUUUGGCACCUCGAUGUCGGCUCAUCACAUCCUGGGGCUGAAGCCGGUCCCAAGGGUAUGGCUGUUCGCCAUUUAAAGUGGUACGCGAGCUGGGUUUAGAACGUCGUGAGACAGUUCGGUCCCUAUCUGCCGUGGACGUUUGAGAUUUGAGAGGGGCUGCUCCUAGUACGAGAGGACCGGAGUGGACGAACCUCUGGUGUUCCGGUUGUCACGCCAGUGGCAUUGCCGGGUAGCUAUGUUCGGAAGAGAUAACCGCUGAAAGCAUCUAAGCGGGAAACUUGCCUCAAGAUGAGAUCUCACUGGGGAUUUAAUCCCCCUAAAGGGCCGUUGAAGACUACAACGUUGAUAGGUUGGGUGUGUAAGCGUAGUGAUACGUUGAGCUAACCAAUACUAAUUGCCCGAGAGGCUUGACUAU